AUGCAAUGAUGAGUGAAGUAGAGCCUGACCUGGUAUAGCCACUGCUCCGGUGCUGGCUUUGACCAGGGCGUGAUCCCUUAAUCUUCUCUCUGAGCUG